AUUGAACGCUGGCGGAAUGCUUUACACAUGCCAGUCGAGCGGCAGCGCGGCCUUCGGGCUGGCGGCGAGCGGCGAACGGGUGAGUAAUGCAUCGGAACAUGCCCAGUCGUGGGGGAUAACACUUCGAAAGAAGUGCUAAUACCGCAUACGUCCUGAGGGGGAAAGCGGGGGAUCGCAAGACCUCGCGCGAUUGGAGUGGCCGAUGUCAGAUUAGCUAGUUGGUGGGGUAAAGGCCUACCAAGGCGACGAUCUGUAGCUGGUCUGAGAGGAUGAUCAGCCACACUGGGACUGAGACACGGCCCAGACUCCUACGGGAGGCAGCAGUGGGGAAUUUUGGACCAUGGGGGCAACCCUGAUCCAGCCAUUCCGCGUGAGUGAAGAAGGCCUUCGGGUUGUAAAGCUCUUUCGGCAGGAACGAAACGGUGGGCUCUAACAUAGUCCGCUAAUGACGGUACCUGAAGAAGAAGCACCGGCUAACUACGUG
rnacentral:rRNA from 1 species